UAAUCUCGUGGCUCAACCCAUGGGGCCAUGGGGCCAUGGGGCUCUGAUUCCAGUUUCUUUUUUCUUUGCCUUCAGGACUUCCCAGCUCUGGUCUCUUGGGGUUCCUAUGUAUGUAGCCUGUUGGGAAUGAAGUCACAGUCCUUACAAUGGCCUGCAGGGGUUUUGCCUUGGAGCCAUUUAACUCAUCUCCUGCUGGUCCUGCCCAUCACCUGCCACAAGGCUGUGGUUAUUUGGGUUGCAGCCAUUUAAGCUCACCUGCUGGGCUCAUCUGAAGACCAUUGCCCUUGCUACCCUGCUUGGGGGGCACUCUCCUUCCCAAUUUCCUUUGGUUCCUUCCCUUCCUCCAUUUAGGUCUUAACUCACUGGUCCCUUCUUUGAAGGAGAUUGUCUGUCCCAAUGCAUUGAUCUUUCACCCCCCACUCCAACUUGAUUUAAAACACUCCUACUGUCUGACAUAAAUUUUUGUACCUUUACAAAAUUUUGUAAGUGGGAACUUGAG
rnacentral:lncRNA from 1 species